rnacentral:lncRNA from 1 species
GGUUGUUUUUACAUAGCUGAGUUGAACAGAGGAGUGCUCAUUGUUAUAGGAAACUUUAACCACUGGCAUGACAUGACAGGUUCAUUCUGUCUCUCACUGACUUUCUCUCACUCUCUCUCUCUCUCUGGCUGUGCCAUGAGUCUUAGAGCGCUCCUAAAUAGCAACAAGUAAGCGUGCGGCCAGAACAGGCUGGAGAAACUCUCAACAGGACAUGAGGAUUGAGAGAGAGAGAGGGUUAGAGAGGGAGUGAAAGAGGAUUGAAGCCGUCCCCUCCUCAACACACUCACAAUGUUGAGUGUUAUAUACUUCCUACGAAGCUUCUUUAAGGCCCCAGCUUUAGAGGACUCUGGGAGUGAGGCAGCUUGUCUGGAUGAUGGGGAGUCUCAGCAGGAGGAGCAAGGAGAGCAACAGGACCAUCAGGAAUGGUGUGAGCCGGUUCCUGAAGCAGCACAGGACACAAAAGAGGAAUAUUUUGACACACACUCAUGGCCCAGUGACACUUUCUCUGAAUCGAGUCAUGAAACUAAGGACUGCUGCAGGACACCGCUCAGCUAUGAGGUUGGAUCUUGCUCUAUGGGUCAUCUGGACACACACUCUCCAUUUGUCAAACCGUCACCUUUGGUUAGAGGGAGAAAUCCCUCUUCAACAAAACAGCAUCAUUCUGUCAAUCAUGCUGACAGUCUCUGUAGAACAGUGGAUAGAGAGCAAUUGCAAAUACAGACUGGAAAUAUGGGGGUGAUGCACAUGGGAGUUGAUGGCACUGGAAUGUCUCAAGCUAAGGGUGCUCUGGAAUGUGAGGAGGUUUUCAACAAUUCUCCAGCGGAACCUGAAGUUGAUUCUUCUUCAAGGAAUGGCCAAUCCUAUGUAGUAGCACCUCUACUGGCAUUAGAGAACUCUGUGGAACCGCAAACACUCACUGAGCCAUGUGCUAAUGACUCAUUAUUGACCUUAACAGACAGUGAUGGAGCCAAGUUUCAGUUUGCUGACACCUUUGAGGGAAAAUCAAAAUGGGAUCAAAUUAACAAAAAUAUCACGAACACUCAGUCAGGACACAAUGAGCCGCAAAUACAGUUCAUAACCUCAAGUGAGAAACAGUUACAGCAAAAUGAUAUUGACAGUAGUAACACUGAAAUACAGUUGAUUUCUAAUGCAUCUGUUGCGAAUAGUAAAGAUGCUGAAUGUCAUGAGUUGGGUGUUGAUGAAAAUAAGAUCAGUUUAUCUGUAUCACGUCAUCUUUUUGUAUAUGAGUCUGUAUCAGUUGAGAAGCCUAUUGAACAGAAGGUCGAGGAGUCAACAAAACACAGCCAUUCACAGCCCUCAGUAGAGCACAGCCAAUCACAGUCUUCAGUAGAGCACAGCAAAUCACAGGCCUCAGCAGAACAUAACCAAUCACAGGAUUCUGUAGAAUGCAGCCAAUCACAUAACUCAGCAGAACACAGCAAAUUACAAGACUCAGCAGAACACAGCCAAUCACAGGCCUUAACAGAAGACAGGCCAUCACAAGAUUUUGUUGAACACAGCCGAUCACAGGACUCAGUAGAACACAGCCGAUCACAGGACUCAGUAGAACACAGCCAAUCACCGGAUUCUGUAGAACACAGUCAGUCACAGGAUUCUGUAGAAUGCAGCCAAUCACAGAAUUCAGU